GACGAACGCUGGCGGCGUGCUUAACACAUGCAAGUCGAACGGUGAAGGGGCCUGCUUUUGUGGGCCCUGGAUGAGUGGCGAACGGGUGAGUAACACGUGAGUAACCUGCCCCCUUCUUCUGGAUAACCGCAUGAAAGUGUGGCUAAUACGGGAUAUGCUGGGUCUGUCGCAUGAUGGGUCUGGGAAAGAUUGCGCCUUUGGGUGUUUUUGGUGGGGGAUGGGCUCGCGGCCUAUCAGCUUGUUGGUGGGGUGAUGGCCUACCAAGGCGGUGACGGGUAGCCGGGCUGAGAGGGUGGACGGUCACACUGGGACUGAGACACGGCCCAGACUCCUACGGGAGGCAGCAGUGGGGAAUAUUGCACAAUGGGCGCAAGCCUGAUGCAGCGACGCCGCGUGAGGGAUGGAGGCCUUCGGGUUGUAAACCUCUUUCGCCAGUGAAGCAGGCCUGCUCCUUGUGGGUGGGUUGACGGUAGCUGGAUAAGAAGCGCCGGCUAACUACGUG
rnacentral:rRNA from 1 species